UCCCCGGGUCCAGAACAAAUUCAAGGGAACAUUCAGUAUUAUACAGAGCCAUGAGUGCAUGUAACUCCCUUCCAUCUAAUAUAGCGCAAGUGAAUAGCAAACCUGGUUUUAAAAAAAAUCAAUAAAGCAACACCUCUUCCCCAUGUUCAUGUUUUUAAAUGUAUGUAAAUUGUCUGUAAUGUCUUCUUCGUCAUGUGUCGGACCCCAGUAAGACUCGCUGUCACGUUUGGCGUUGUCUAAUGGGAAUCAUAAUAAAUCAAACAAAAUAUCUUUCUAAUCCCUCUCCCUCUUCUCCCAGGUGGCUAGUGCUCUUUCAGCCAUGGUGAUUCUAGUCAUCAUGCUGUAGAUUGGGGCUGUCUUUGGGGAGCUGCCAAAGGAAGUGUUGGCAGCCAUCGUCUAUGGGAACCUGCGUGGCAUGAUGAAACAGUUCAUGGAUAUGCUGGUGUGGAUGGCCACUCUGAUCCUGACCGUGCUCUUCAAACCUGGCCUAUGCCUGGCAGCCUCCAUUGCCUUCUCGAUGCUCACGGUCAUCUUCAGGACCCAGCUUUUCAGGCCAAAGUACUCCUCUUCUAGGUCAGGUCCCUGAGACUGACAUCUACAGACCAGUGGAGGACUAUAAUCUGUAAUGUGUCCAUGGAGACAAGAUAAAUACGUAAAUAUACAAUACAUAUUCAGUUACUCUCUAAUCAUACUGCCACUCAAUCAAUGGGAAAUCUUUAACUUGUACCAGGGCUAUGUCUGUGAAGGUGUUUCACUUACAUUUUCGGCAGUAUAUCAGUUGUUAAGUGAACUUUAACUCCGGAGUGAAGUAUCACCUAGGUACAUAUCUAGGAUCAGCUUCCCCUCCCCCAAUCCUACCAUUAGUGGGGAAAAUGCAAAAUGGACCCAAAAUCAGCAUCUGAUGUGUAAUGACACAGCAACAGAUAUCAUCACAUCUUUAGCCAACUUGGUCUCAGAGUAUUUUGUAUUAUUCUGUAUGUAAAUCUGAAACACUCCAUUUGUGCGUUGCCUCAUGGGUUUCCAUUUCGCGGCUGGCACGGGUCUCGAACCAGCAUCUGUAGCAACUCAGUUUGUACUGCGAUGUAGUGUCUUAAUACACCACUCGGGAGGCUCCAUUUACAAACGUUUU